rnacentral:rRNA from 1 species
AUUGAACGCUGGCGGCAGGCCUAACACAUGCAAGUCGAGCGGAUGAAGAGAGCUUGCUCUCUGAUUCAGCGGCGGACGGGUGAGUAAUGCCUAGGAAUCUGCCUGGUCGUGGGGGACAACGUUUCGAAAGGAACGCUACUACCGCAUACGUACUACGGGAGCAAGUGGGGGAUCUUCGGACCUCACGCUAUCAGAUGAGCCUAGGUACGAUUAGCUAGUUGGUGAGGUAAAGGCUCACCAAGGCGACGAUCGUUAACUGGUCUGAGAGGAUGAUCAGUCACACUGGAACUGAGACACGGUCCAGACUCCGACGGGAGGCAGCAGUGGGAAAUAUUGGGCAAGGGGCGAAAGCCUGAUCCAGCCAUGCCGGGUGUGUGAAGAAGGUCUUCGGAUUGUAAAGCGCUUUAAGUUGGGAGGAAGGGCAGUAAGUUAAUACCUGGCUGUUUUGACGUUACCGACAGAAUAAGCACCGGCUAACUUCGUGCCAGCCGCCGCCGUAAAAC